rnacentral:rRNA from 1 species
UACGAAGGGUGCAAGCGUUGUUCGGAAUCAUUGGGCGUAAAGCGCGCGCAGGCGGAUCAGCAAGUUAGAUGUGAAAUCUCGAGGCUCAACCUCGAAACUGCGUCUGAAACUGCUAGUCUAGAAUAUCGGAGGGGGCAGGGGAAUUUCACGUGUAGGGGUAAAAUCCGUAGAGAUGUGAAGGAACACCGGGGGCGAAGGCGCCUGCCUGGACGACUAUUGACGCUGAGGCGCGAAAGCGUGGGGAGCAAACAGG